AGAGUUUGAUCAUGGCUCAGAUUGAACGCUGGCGGCAGGCCUAACACAUGCAAGUCGAGCGGUAACAGGGGAAGCUUGCUUCUCGCUGACGAGCGGCGGACGGGUGAGUAAUGUAUGGGGAUCUGCCCGAUAGAGGGGGAUAACUACUGGAAACGGUAGCUAAUACCGCAUAAUCUCUAAGGAGCAAAGCAGGGGAACUUCGGUCCUUGCGCUAUCGGAUGAACCCAUAUGGGAUUAGCUAGUUGGUGAGGUAAUGGCUCACCAAGGCGACGAUCCCUAGCUGGUCUGAGAGGAUGAUCAGCCACACUGGAACUGAGACACGGUCCAGACUCCUACGGGAGGCAGCAGUGGGGAAUAUUGCACAAUGGGGGAAACCCUGAUGCAGCCAUGCCGCGUGUGUGAAGAAGGCCUUCGGGUUGUAAAGUACUUUCAGCGAGGAGGAAGGCGUUGUGGUUAAUAACCGCAGCGAUUGACGUUACCCGCAGAAGAAGCACCGGCUAACUCCGUGCCAGCAGCCGCGGUAAUUC
rnacentral:rRNA from 1 species